rnacentral:lncRNA from 1 species
CCUUUGAUCUUGUUACUGGUCCGCUGAAACUUUCCAGGUUUGGAACUGUAUUUGUGUUUACAUCAUUUGAAAUUUGCUCCAAGUCACCUUCUGAUGCUCUUUGAGUAUCUUGAGUGUUUUUAGCCUUGUUUGCAUCAUUCCCCCUCCCCUCAAAAGGAUUCGUCUUCGAAUAAAUUCCUGCAUCAAUUUCAAAAGGGGAUAAAUCAGAUAUGUUAAGUGUAGCCGAAACAUUAUACUGACAUGGUAGGUCCACUUUGUAGGCAUUUUCAUUGAUUUUGGCUAUGAUUUAAAAUGGACUAUCCCCACGAGCAUCCAACUUAGAUUUCCAUUUUGGAAAUCGUUCCUUGCGCAUAUGAACCCACACCCAAUCUCCAUAUUCAAAUGAAAUCCUGCGCUUUCCUUUAUAGACAUGGAAUGCUACUUGUUCAUUUUUCUUUUCAAUGCCUUGCUCUUUCAUGAAUUGCUUUAACCAUUUUUUCUUUCUUAUGUCCAUCCAAAUUAGAAAUGUCGCUUAUAGGAAUAGGCAACAAAUCAAGUGGAGUUAAGGGAUUAAAACCAUACACAAUUUCAAAAGGAGAAAACCCAAAAGAAGAAUGUAUACUCUGAUUAUAAGCAAAUUCAACAAAUGGUAGCAUAUCUUCCCAAGUUUUAACAUUCCUUCCAAUUAAAGCACGUAAUAAUGUACCAAGUGUUCUAUUUACUACUUCAAUUUGACCAUCCGUUUGUGGAUGUGAAGUAGUAGAAAAUAAAAGUUUGGUCCCAAGUCUGGACCACAAAACUCGCCAAAAGUGGCUUAAAAACUUAACAUCCCUAUCGGACACAAUGGUUUUAUGAAUGCCAUGUAUUCUAACAACUUCGCGGAAAAACAAAUCCGCUAUGUGUGUGGCAUCAUCUGUUUUGUGACAUGGUAUAAAGUGUCAUUUUGGAAAAACGAUCAACAAAAACAAAUAUUGAGUCUCUGCCUUUUCUAGUCCUAGGCAAACCCAACAAAAAGUCCAUAGAAAUAUCAACUCAAGGAUGUGUAGGAAUGGGUAAUGGCAUAUAUAAUCCAUGUGGUUGAACUCUAGACUUAGCUUGCCUACAUGAGAUGCACUCUGCACAAAUUUUCUCAACAUAUUUGUGCAUAUUAGGCCAAAAGAAAUGUUCAUGUAAAAUGCUCAAAGUUUUGCCAAUCCCAAAAUGUCCUAUUAAACCAUUACUAUAUGCUUCACGAACAAGCAACUCCCUAAUAGAACUAUUAGGCACACAUAAUUUUUCCUUUUUAAAUAGAAAACCAUCAUGCUUAUAAAAGUCUUGAAAUACCGCAUGUUCACAAGCCACAUAAACAUUUAAAAAAUCACUAUCAUGCACAAUUCUUUGAAAUGCUCAAAUCCCAACAAUUUUGUAAAAAGAGUAGAGAUAAGACUGUACCUUCUUGAAAGCACAUCAGCUACCACAUUUUCUUCUCCUUGCUUAUAUUGGAUCACAUAUUGGAAGGUCUCUAUGAAUUCUAC